rnacentral:tRNA from 1 species
GGCGGUAUGGCUGGACGUGGGGAGCGGCUCGGCGAUUGGUAGUCGUCGGCUAGCGUUUCGAUUGGGUCAGCCGCUG